CUGAAUACUGUUGUCCAGUUGGAUCCUUAGCUCCCUGAGACCAAAGGACUGUAAGUUUGACAUCUGAUAAUCUCUGUAACAGAGGACUUCAUAAUGUCUAGGAGAAUACCUGCCACUCAAGAAAUACUAAGCUGCUGCAGAUGGAUGGAUGGAUGGAUGGAUGGAUGGGACACCUUGACUUCUUGUCCUAUACAUCAAGUUUUCCUUUACAAUCCUGCUUCUGGAUGGGAUCCAUGGCUGGUCAGAGGAGACAGAGCACCGUGAGAGGCUUGGAGAGGAAAAAGGAGGAGCCAGUGGAGCACUAAGGAGCUAGAAUGACAUCAGCUACAAGGUGAAGAAUAAGCAGAAAGCAUAAACAUAAGCCUGAUCCUGUGUUUGUUGGUGUUGCCACGGAACCAGAGGAGAAACGCAAUAAGGAGGAAGAUGUGGGGAAGUAGAGAUCCAGUCCUAGAUCAAGGAACUCUUAACA